GGGGUUAUAGUUAAUAAUAACAUUUAACUUGCAUUUAAAAAGUACUGGAUCAGUUAACCUCA
rnacentral:tRNA from 1 species